rnacentral:rRNA from 1 species
UGGGGAAUUUUGGACAAUGGGCGCAAGCCUGAUCCAGCCAUGCCGCGUGCAGGAUGAAGGCCCUCGGGUUGUAAACUGCUUUUGUACGGAACGAAAAGCCUCUUUCUAAUAAAGAGGGGUGAUGACGGUACCGUAAGAAUAAGCACCGGCUAACUACGUGCCAGCAGCCGCGGUAAUACGUAGGGUGCGAGCGUUAAUCGGAAUUACUGGGCGUAAAGCGUGCGCAGGCGGUCUUGCAAGACAGUGGUGAAAUCCCCGGGCUCAACCUGGGAACCGCCAUUGUGAAUGCAAGGCUGGAGUACGGCAGAGGGGGAUGGAAUUCCGCGUGUAGCAGUGAAAUGCGUAGAUAUGCGGAGGAACACCGAUGGCGAAGGCAGUCCCCUGGGCCUGUACUGACGCUCAUGCACGAA